UGCUUAGUUGGCAUAUUGUCUUGUCUUUAUGGUUGUAGUUUCAACAUGAAACAAUGAUUUGGAUGAGAGACAGAGUAACAUUAUCAUGGACACGGGUGUGACUGUGGUGCGAUAUCAGUCACUUGCAGCAGCUUCAGGACAUAGCUUCCUUCUUCUGAACCUGAAGCGAAUAUGGGGACAUUGUUUUUCUUCCAUUCACCGAUUCCUCACUUUUCACUCCCUUCCAUGCCAAAACCCAUUGCACUUCCUCCUCUUUCUUGUUUGAGGAAUAAUGGAGAUGUCAAUAGCUUACAUGAACAGAAGUCAGAGGGUAACAAAAAUGUGGACAUGUCCCAGUCCAUGUGUGAUGAUGACCAGAAUGUGAAACAAGAUAAUAUUUGGCAAUUGUUCAAAGAAGCUCAACAGAACAUACUAUACUUGAACAAACAACGCCUUGGGGCCAUUGAGAAACUUGACAAAACAAACAGAGAAAAACAGUCGCUUCUCAGUAAGAUAAAGAAGUUGGAAGCAGAAAAACAGGCUGGUGCUGGUAAAGAUAACCUAUCAACUUGUUCAGAAUUGCUGCUUCGGAUAGAUGCCAUGGUUCUCAGCAGCAUGAUUAGUGCUGGAGAAGCAUCUGAAUUAAGAAGUUUGGUGAUGAACCACAAAGUGAGUCUGGCUGAUGUUUUUAAUAUCAUCUCACACAAAAAAGAUCCUGAACUUCUAGGAGAACUUCGUCGCUUUUCAGAUGGACACAAAAAGAAUGGUUUUCAUAUUGUUCACAUUUGCACAGAAAUGACACCAUUGGUCCCUAGAGGAUCAGUAGCUUCAUAUGUGACCGGCAUAUCUCGUGCACUUCAAAGAAAGGGCCACCUGGUGGAGGUUAUAUUGCCAAAGUAUGCAAGUUUAAACCUAGAUGAGGUGCAAGGGUUGCACGAAGUUAAUGUAGAGGUUACCUCGUAUUUUAAUGGCCAAUUACACGGAAAUAGAAUUUGGACUGGUGUUGUUUUUGGCAUUGGAGUCACUUUGAUAGAGCCAAAGUACUAUUCAUCAUUUUUCAGCCAUGAGAUGAUAUAUGGAUACCCAGAUGAUUUUGAAAGGUUCUCCUAUUUUUGUCGGGCAUCAUUGGACUAUAUUGUAAAAUGUGGGAAGCAGCCUGAUGUGUUGCAUCUACAUAAUUGGGAGACAGCCAUUGUUGGGCCCCUUUUCUGGGAUACAUUUGUUAAACAGGGACUUGAAGGAACCAGAAUAUUAUUUACAUGCCAUGGCUUCAAUUCACAGGGUAUUGAGCAACCAGAUAAGUUAGCCUUAUGUGGGCUUGAUCCUUUAAGACUUCAUCGCCCUGAUCGUUUACAAGACAACACUAACACACAACUUGUCAAUAUUUUAAAGGGUGGAGUUGUCUAUUCGAAUAGAGUUGUAAUAAUGUCAUCUAUCUAUCCAAAGCACGUAAUUGUUCAUAAUUUGAGUCAUGAACUGGAGCCCACUUUAAAUGUCCAUAGGGACAAGUUGGUCAUUGCUCCUUACGGAUUAGACAAAUCAACUUGGGAUCCUUCAACUGACUAUUUUCUUCCAGAAAAUUUCAAUGCUGAAAAUAUGAAUGGAAAAGCUUUUUGCAAAGCUGCAUUGCUACAGAAGCUGGGAUUAUCUGAACAUUCUUCUACUAUUCUUCUACCUCUCAUAAACCAUGACUUUUAUGACUGGUUGGAUGCAUUUUUUCAGAAGGACGAGACCUUGACAGAAAAAGGGUGAAGGAAGUUAUCUUGAAUGCUAAGCAGUAUGAUGUCCAGUUUAUAUUUAUGGGGACCAGUGAAAGAUUGAUCAUGAAUCAGGCGCCUGAAUCACUUCAGAUGGAAUUCAAGGAUGAUAAUCUUAAAUUUGUGCCUACUUAUGAUGAAGCUCUGUUGCAUUUAGUCUUUGCUGGAUCCGACAUCAUCUUGUGCCAAUCUUUUCUUGAUCCUACUGAUGAAAUCCCACUCAUUGCUUUAAGGUAUGGAGCAGCUCCAAUAGCACUUGCCCCUGAUGCUAGCUCAAACAGGUCGAUACCUUUUGAUAGGAGCUUCAUAAACCAAGACCACGAGGCCACUAAGUACUCAGAGUUAAUCAACUCUAGCUUCGUAAACAUGUCUAUUAGCCUUGCCAUUGAUGAAAUUAGGACUAACCCUGCCAUGUGGAAACGAAAAAUAAUGCAAGCAAUGGCGCAUGACUUAUCAUGGGAUGGUGAAUGCUACGAUGUUCACGUUGAAGCUUACUCUGCUAUAAAGAAUAUGUGAAAUGGACCUGAUAUACAUCCAUCAUCCAUGUAUAUAUAUACAUGUAAACAUUUUUAGUUUAGUAUUUUGAGAUAUGGUUGAAUAGUUAUUAAUUAUAUGCAAGUCAAUAGCUCCACAAAAAUUGGUGUCUUCUAAAAUCUGUUGCAAAAUGAAUAAUGAUGCGGGGUGAGACAAGGAAGAUCCGUCACAAUUAGAAUGAUGAAGGGGUUGGCAGCCUAAUAUUCGGGGCAGAAUAAUGAAAUUACGAUACAUUAUCAAGAAGUUGAAUGACUUGACAAAUUAUCAA